GCUUAGAGUUUGAUCCUGGCUCAGAGUGAACGCUGGCGGCGUGCUUAACACAUGCAAGUCGAACGGAACCUUCGGGUUUAGUGGCGCACGGGUGAGUAAUGUAUAGCUAACAUGCCCUUUAGAGGGGGGAUAACAGUUGGAAACGACUGCUAAUACCCCAUACUCCUUCUCAUUAUAAGAUGAGUCGGGAAAGUUUUUUCGCUAAAGGAUUGGGCUAUAUGGUAUCAGCUUGUUGGUGAGGUAACGGCUCACCAAGGCUAUGACGCCUAACUGGUCUGAGAGGAUGAUCAGUCACACUGGAACUGAGACACGGUCCAGACUCCUACGGGAGGCAGCAGUGGGGAAUAUUACACAAUGGAGGAAACUCUGAUGUAGCAACGCCGCGUGGAGGAUGACACAUUUCGGUGCGUAAACUCCUUUUAUAUGGGAAGAUAAUGACGGUACCAUAUGAAUAAGCACCGGCUAACUCCGUGCCAGCAGCCGCGGUAAUACGGAGGGUGCAAGCGUUACUCGGAAUCACUGGGCGUAAAGCGCAUGUAGGCGGUCUUGUAAGUUGGGUGUGAAAGCCUAUGGCUCAACCAUAGAACUGCACCCAAAACUACUAGACUAGAGUCUGGGAGAGGAAAAUGGAAUUAGUUGUGUAGGGGUAAAAUCCGUAGAGAUAACUAGGAAUACCAAAAGCGAAGGCAAUUUUCUGGAACAGUACUGACGCUCAGAUGCGAAAGCGUGGGUAGCAAACAGGAUUAGAUACCCUGGUAGUCCACGCCCCUAAACGAUGAAUGUUAGUCGUCGGGAGGCUCGUCCUUUCGGUGAUGCAGCUAACGCAUUAAACAUUCCGCCUGGGGAGUACGGUCGCAAGAUUAAAACUCAAAGGAAUAGACGGGGACCCGCACAAGUGGUGGAGCAUGUGGUUUAAUUCGAAGAUACGCGAAGAACCUUACCUAGCCUUGACAUUGAUAGAAUCCGAUGGAAACAUUGGAGUGCCAGUUUACUGGAGCUUGAAAACAGGUGCUGCACGGCUGUCGUCAGCUCGUGUCGUGAGAUGUUGGGUUAAGUCCCGCAACGAGCGCAACCCUCGUCCUUAGUUACUAACGGUUCGGCCGAGGACUCUAAGGAGACUGCCUUCGUAAGGAGGAGGAAGGUGAGGACGACGUCAAGUCAUCAUGGCCCUUACGGCUAGGGCGACACACGUGCUACAAUGGAUAGGACAAUGAGACGCAAUACCGCGAGGUGGAGCAAAUCUAUAAACCUAUUCUCAGUUCGGAUUGUAGUCUGCAACUCGACUACAUGAAGCUGGAAUCACUAGUAAUCGUAGAUCAGCCAUGCUACGGUGAAUACGUUCCCGGGUCUUGUACUCACCGCCCGUCUCACCAUGGGAGUUGGGGGUACCUGAAGUCGGUGACCGCAAGGAGCCGCCUAGGGUAAAACCAGUAACUAGGGCUAAGUCGUAACAAGGUAACCAAGCC
rnacentral:rRNA from 1 species